AUGAAAUAAGCUAUUCUAUCAUAUUCCUCUCAGCUGUCGACCAGGGAACACCAAGUUUUAAAGAGCACAAAUAUAGCAUAAAGUGUAAAUAAAAUGUUCGUCAAAGGAUUACUGCUGUUCUGCUUUAUUCACUUUUCGUAUGCAGGUUAGUUUUAGUGAUUAUUUUUAUGGGAUCGUAAAUUUAGUACGUUUAAUUUUUGUUAGAUACUGGCUGCUCUCGUACUUGACGAGGGAUACAUUUUAUUAAUUCAGAGUCACUUUUAGAGCUAGGUGACCUCCAAAUGAAGACCUAAAACUCAGGGUUGAAGGUAGGACCAUAGCAAAAUGAUUGAGGGUACUAAAUAGGGUUUGGGUUACGUUUUGGUUUGUGGAACGUAUUAAGAAUGUCGUUUCUACCCUAGGCGUAUGGUUUCAUGUGGGCUAUGCCUGUAUAAGUGCGAAGGGCGACAGCUACCAUGAAAUGGCAUAUAGUGGACCGAGUUCUUUUGUUGGUGCUGCUAAAUUGGUGCACACUACAGGUACGCAAAACGAUUUGAGCUUAAAGCAUGAUGAUUUUUUUGAUGAUGGUAAUGUUACACAUGUUGUGAUUGCUCGAUUGCGCUCCUACAUCUGUCAUCCUUGCUUUCCUGAAGUAAUACCCU